UGGGGAAUUUUGGACAAUGGGCGAAAGCCUGAUCCAGCAAUGCCGCGUGUGUGAAGAAGGCCUUCGGGUUGUAAAGCACUUUUGUCCGGAAAGAAAUGGCUCUGGUUAAUACCUGGGGUCGAUGACGGUACCGGAAGAAUAAGGACCGGCUAACUACGUGCCAGCAGCCGCGGUAAUACGUAGGGUCCAAGCGUUAAUCGGAAUUACUGGGCGUAAAGCGUGCGCAGGCGGUUGUGCAAGACCGAUGUGAAAUCCCCGAGCUUAACUUGGGAAUUGCAUUGGUGACUGCACGGCUAGAGUGUGUCAGAGGGGGGUAGAAUUCCACGUGUAGCAGUGAAAUGCGUAGAGAUGUGGAGGAAUACCGAUGGCGAAGGCAGCCCCUGGGAUAACACUGACGCUCAUGCACGAAAGCGUGGGGAGCAAACAGGAUUAGAUACCCUGGUAGUCCACGCCCUAAACGAUGUCAACUAGUUGUUGGGGAUUCAUUUCCUUAGUAACGUAGCUAACGCGUGAAGUUGACCGCCUGGGAGUACGGUCGCAAGAUUAAAAGCUCAAAGGAA
rnacentral:rRNA from 1 species